rnacentral:lncRNA from 1 species
GAGUUUCUUGAAGAAAUGUCUGAGUCCAGAUUCAUGGAAGGAAAUAUACAAGUCUGGAAAGUCUUGUUAUACCAGAAAACAGACCAUCCUCAAGCUUUCUGCAGCGGGAGUGGAAAGUGUCUGGAAGGGAUCAAGCACUGGCAGAGCUGAGCAACUUCAAAUUUAAUUUCCUGGAAGGACAAGAGCAACGGCAGUGUGCAGUGACAGAGUACCUUGCCAACCACCCCCACCAUGGAGAAGGGGCCCUGAAAGCUACGGUCUGCUUGAUGCAGAUGGGAGGAUGUGGGGGCAGCAGUCAGUCUCCCCUGAAUGUGAUAUGAAGAUCUCACCCAGCCCGAUGACAAUAUCCACUCCUUCUUCCCCAUCUUCUCUCAACUUGGACAAGGGCUCUGAACAAAAGUCACCUUCCCUGCCUCCUCACCCUUUGCCUUUCUAUGUUUCCCUAGGUUCCUCUUGGAACAUGCUUGAUUGGGA